AGAGUUUGAUCCUGGCUCAGAGUGAACGCUGGCGGCGUGCUUAACACAUGCAAGUCGAACGAGAACGGCUCUAGCUUGCUAGAGUGUCAGCUAAGUGGCGCACGGGUGAGUAAUAUAUAGUUAACCUGCCUCAAAGAAGGGAAUAAUUGUUGGAAACGACUUGUAAUGCCCUAUAUGCCUUUAUUACAUAAGUAAGCAAGGGAAACAUUUAUGGCUUUGAGAUGGGACUGUACGGUAUCAGUUUGUUGGUGAGGUAAUGGCUCACCAAGACUAUGACGCCUAACUGGUUUGAGAGGAUGAUCAGUCACACUGGAACUGAGACACGGUCCAGACUCCUACGGGAGGCAGCAGUGGGGAAUAUUGCACAAUGGACGAAAGUCUGAUGCAGCAACGCCGCGUGGAGGAUGACACAUUUCGGUGCGUAAACUCCUUUUAUAUGAGAAGAUAAUGACGGUAUCAUAUGAAUAAGCACCGGCUAACUUCGUGCCAGCAGCCGCGGUAAUACGAGGGGUGCAAGCGUUACUCGGAAUCACUGGGCGUAAAGAGCAUGUAGGCGGGUAAUUAAGUUGGAAGUGAAAUCCUAUGGCUCAACCAUAGAACUGCUUCCAAAACUGAUUACCUAGAGUAUGGGAGAGGUAGAUGGAAUUUCUGGUGUAGGGGUAAAAUCCAUAGAGAUCAGAAGGAAUACCGAUUGCGAAGGCGAUCUACUGGAACAUUACUGACGCUAAGAUG
rnacentral:rRNA from 1 species